UGGGGGAUAUUGCACAAUGGGCGAAAGCCUGAUGCAGCGACGCCGCGUGGGGGAUGAAGGCCUUCGGGUUGUAAACUUCUUUUGCUCUGAACAAGGCAUGCCUUUGGGGUGUGUUGAGUGUAGGGGUUGAUUAGCGCCGGCUAACUACGUGCCAGCAGCCGCGGUAAUACGUAGGGCGCGAGCGUUGUCCGGAAUUAUUGGGCGUAAAGGGCUUGUAGGUGGCUGGUUGCGUCUGUCGUGAAAGCUCAUGGCUUAACUGUGGGUUUGCGGUGGGUACGGGCUGGCUUGAGUGCAGUAGGGGAGGCUGGAAUUCCUGGUGUAACGGUAGAAUGCGCAGAUAUCAGUAGUAAUACCGGUGGCGAAGGCGGGUCUCUGGGCUGUUACUGACGCUGAGGAGCGAAAGCGUGGGGAGCGAACAGG
rnacentral:rRNA from 1 species